CAAAGUGAAACUAUUUGCCCAACCCCGUGGUUGCCUUAGAGACUUGCUGCAAACAACAGAUAGAAGCAUGAGCUUCGUAUGAGGAAUGUCCAAAGGACAAGUAUGUGAGUCUUGAAAACAGAAAAAUGAAACAACAUGAUUGCAACAUCUGUCAAAGGAGUAUGAUGCACAAACAGUGCUAGGUGUCCGGGAAAUAAGAGACAGCUGUGAAGGCUGGACUGGAUGUUACUCCUGAAACCUGCCACCAAACCUAGACCAAGAAGGACACCUCACCAGCACUGGAGAGUGCCUUAAACUGGGAGAUCUCAACAAGCUGAUCCUCAUGACUGGCUCUCUAAAGCUGUCAAACUGAAGGACAAGUUUGAAUGAACUCUCAAAAUCAACAUGUCAACACUCAGGGAAUGUUUUUUAGAUGGCUUACCUGGCCAAGAUGAAUGUCAAACCUGAGGACUGUAAUGCAUUAGCAGUAGAUCUGAACACCAUCUGAGGACACUUGAAUCUAUGUGGUUUUUGUGGACCCAUCAAGCCUUUAAAGUGAGGUUGAGAGCAGCAAAGGGCUGGAGUUGAAAAUCACAUUAGAAAUUCUUCAAAUGGGAUGGCACUUGUCAGCUGACAGUAAAGGAAUUUUAAGAGACUACAAAGCUUACAAAAGGAAAUUCACCUCAGUGUGCUCAUAUUGGGCCUGAUUUGCUCAUUCAGCUGUGUUUUCCUGGAACGGCUGAAGUUGGAAGAGCUGAUUCCAAGCCUGAGGAAGCUGUUGAGUGAAGUGGUG